rnacentral:rRNA from 1 species
AUUGAACGCUGGCGGAAUGCUUUACACAUGCAAGUCGAACGGCAGCACGGACUUCGGUCUGGUGGCGAGUGGCGAACGGGUGAGUAAUGUAUCGGAACGUAUCCAAUAAUGGGGGAUAACUAAUCGAAAGGUUGGCUAAUACCGCAUACGCCCUACGGGGGAAAGCAGGGGAUCUUCGGACCUUGCGUUAAUGGAGCGGCCGAUAUCUGAUUAGCUAGUUGGUGAGGUAAGAGCUCACCAAGGCGACGAUCAGUAGCUGGUCUGAGAGGACGACCAGCCACACUGGAACUGAGACACGGUCCAGACUCCUACGGGAGGCUG